rnacentral:rRNA from 1 species
AAAAGUCGUAACAAGGUCUCCGUUGGUGAACCAGCGGAGGGAUCAUUACCGAGUUUACAACUCCCAAACCCCUGUGAACAUACCUUAUGUUGCCUCGGCGGAUCAGCCCGCGCCCCGUAAAAAGGGACGGCCCGCCGCAGGAACCUUAAACUCUGUUUUUAGUGGAACUUCUGAGUAUAAAAAACAAAUAAAUCAAAACUUUCAACAACGGAUCUCUUGGUUCUGGCAUCGAUGAAGAACGCAGCAAAAUGCGAUAAGUAAUGUGAAUUGCAGAAUUCAGUGAAUCAUCGAAUCUUUGAACGCACAUUGCGCCCGCCAGUAUUCUGGCGGGCAUGCCUGUUCGAGCGUCAUUUCAACCCUCAAGCCCAGCUUGGUGUUGGGAGCUGCAGUCCUGCUGCACUCCCCAAAUACAUUGGCGGUCACGUCGAGCUUCCAUAGCGUAGUAAUUUACAUAUCGUUACUGGUAAUCGUCGCGGCCACGCCGUUAAACCCCAACUUCUGAAUGUUGACCUCGGAUCAGGUAGGAAUACCCGUUGAACUUAA